rnacentral:misc_RNA from 1 species
GAUGAAGAACGCAGCGAAAUGCGAUACGUAAUGUGAAUUGCAGAAUUCAGUGAAUCAUCGAGUCUUUGAACGCACAUUGCGCCCCCUGGUAUUCCGGGGGGCAUGCCUGUCCGAGCGUCAUUGCUGCCCUCAAGCACGGCUUGUGUGUUGGGCCCCGUCCUCCGAUUCCGGGGGACGGGCCCGAAAGGCAGCGGCGGCACCGCGUCCGGUCCUCGAGCGUAUGGGGCUUUGUCACCCGCUCUGUAGGCCCGGCCGGCGCUUGCCGAUCAACCCAAAUUUUUAUCCAGGUUGACCUCGGAUCAGGUAGGGAUACCCGCUGAACUUAAGAAUAUCAAUAAGCGGAGGA